rnacentral:rRNA from 1 species
CCUACGGGUGGCAGCAGUGAGGAAUAUUGGUCAAUGGGCUUACGCCUGAACCAGCCAAGUCGCGUGAGGGAAGACUGCCCUAUGGGUUGUAAACCUCUUUUGUCAGGGAGCAACGCCGGCUACGUGUAGCCGGACUGAGAGUACCUGAAGAAAAAGCAUCGGCUAACUCCGUGCCAGCAGCCGCGGUAAUACGGAGGAUGCGAGCGUUAUCCGGAUUUAUUGGGUUUAAAGGGUGCGUAGGCGGAAUGCCAAGUCAGCGGUAAAAUCGCGGGGCUCAACCCUGAGCCUGCAUUUGAAACUGUGUUUCUUGAGUGCUGGAGAGGCAAUCGGAAUUCCGUGUGUAGCGGUGAAAUGCGUAGAUAUACGGAGGAACACCAGUGGCGAAGGCGGAUUGCUGGACAGUAACUGACGCUGAGGCGCGAAAGCGUGGGGAGCAAACAGGAUUAGAUACCCUGUAGUC